rnacentral:rRNA from 1 species
CUCUCCGAGGCAGCAGGCGCGUAAUUACUUAUCUGAAAGGGAGGUGGAAACAAGAUAUAAAAACGCAUUUAAUUGUGAUAGAAAUGAGGGUUCUCUCUACCGAACCACUAGUACGAUUAGAGGGCAAGUCUGGUGCCAGCAGCCGCGGUAAUUCCAGCUCUAAUAGCGUAUAUUAAAGUUGCUGCAGUUAAAAAGCUCGUAUUUGGAUUUCAAGGAUUGUGUACUCUUCCAGGGUAUGCACCCCUACAAUCUUUGACUUGUUACUGUGAGAAAAUUAGAGUGUUUAAAGCAGGCUAUUGCAGAAUACAUCAGCAUGGAAUAACGAAUGUAUCCUAGAAUCUUGGGUAAUCCAA